UACGUAGGGUGCAAGCGUUGUCCGGGAUUAUUGGGCGUAAAGAGCUCGUAGGCGGUUUGUCGCGUCUGCUGUGAAAACUCAGGGCUUAACCCUGAGCUUGCAGUGGGUACGGGCAGACUAGAGUGCAGUAGGGGAGACUGGAAUUCCUGGUGUAGCGGUGAAAUGCGCAGAUAUCAGGAGGAACACCGGUGGCGAAGGCGGGUCUCUGGGCCGUAACUGACGCUGAGGAGCGAAAGCAUGGGGAGCGAACAGG
rnacentral:rRNA from 1 species